rnacentral:rRNA from 1 species
ACGCGAUAAACCUUACCAGCCCUUGACAUGGUCACGACCGGUCCAGAGAUGGACUUUCCUAGCAAUAGGCGUGAUGCACAGGUGCUGCAUGGCUGUCGUCAGCUCGUGUCGUGAGAUGUUGGGUUAAGUCCCCGCAACGAGCGCAACCCUCGCCUCUAGUUGCCAGCAUGUUCGGGUGGGCACUCUAGAGGAACUGCCGGUGACAAGCCCGGAGGAAGGUGGGGAUGACGUCAAGUCCUCAUGGCCCUUA